GACGAACGCUGGCGGCGUGCCUAAUACAUGCAAGUCGAACGCAGUUGCGAACGGGUGAGUAACGCGUAGGUAACUGCCUCAUAGCGGGGGUUACCUAUUGGAACCGUUAGCUAAUCCCCCAUACUGUGAGAUGGACCUGCGUUGUAUUAGCUCGGUGGUGAGGUAAAUGCUCAACAAGGCGGCGAUACUUAGCCGACCUGAGCGGGUUGUCGGCCCACCUGGGAAUGGGACAAGGGCCAGACUCCGACGGGAGGCAGCAAGAGGGAAUUAUCGGACAUGGACGGAAGUCCUACCGAGCAAAGGCGCGUGAGUGAAGAAGGUUUUCGGAGCGGAAAGCUCUGUUGUUAGAGGAGCGGUAACUAACCAGAAAGCGACGGCUAACUACGUGCCAGCAGCCGCGGUAAUAC
rnacentral:rRNA from 1 species